CGAAGACAGGAGGCUCCCCACCAGGCAACGGGUUUAUAUGCCACCCUGAACUAAGGAGGAAGGGUUUCAGGUGUAUAGUAUAGUGAUUCAGCACUUCUCUCCAUAAUGCAGUGAUCAUCAGGCUUUCAGAUCCAUGAAGCUCCUGUCUCGGUAGAUGCAUAAACAGAGUGACUAUGAGGAGAAAAUGAAAGAACAGAGGCACAUACACUUGGUAUUCGCCAGGAUGGAUUCCAGGGUUCAGAAUGAGUGGGCUGUGAUCCCAGCCAUUCCACUGUGUGACUUUAGGCAAGUUCCUCAGACUGCCUAUCCCUCAACUCACUCAUCUAUAAAAUGGGAAAAAGAAAAGUGCAUACCUCAUAGAAUCUUUGUGAAAAUUAAAUGAGAAAACGUACGUAACCUUCAAAAAACUGUCAGCAGGGCAGCCCGGGGGGCUCAGAGGUUGAGCAUCUGCCUUCAGCCCAGGAGGUGAUCCUGGAGACCCGGGGUCGAGUCCCACGUCGGGCUCCCUGCAUGGAGCCUGCUUCU